GACGAACGCUGGCGGCGUGCUUAACACAUGCAAGUCGAACGGAGCGAAUGAAAGCUUGCUUUUAUGAGCUUAGUGGCAAACGGGUGAGUAACACGUAGACAACCUGCCGAUCAGAUGGGGACAACAUUCCGAAAGGAAUGCUAAUACCGAAUGGCGUGUAGGGGAGGCAUCUUCCCUACAUGAAAGAUGGCCUCUAUAUAUAAGCUAUCACUGAUCGAUGGGUCUGCGUCUGAUUAGCUAGUAGGUAAGGUAACGGCUUACCUAGGCGACGAUCAGUAGCCGGUCUGAGAGGAUGAACGGCCACAUUGGGACUGAGACACGGCCCAGACUCCUACGGGAGGCAGCAGUGGGGAAUCUUCCGCAAUGGGCGCAAGCCUGACGGAGCAACGCCGCGUGAGUGAAGAAGGUCUUCGGAUCGUAAAGCUCUGUUGAAAGGGGACGAACGUAUAUAAGUG
rnacentral:rRNA from 1 species